AUUGAACGCUGGCGGCAGGCCUAACACAUGCAAGUCGAGCGAGCGGCGGACGGGUGAGUAAUGUCUGGGAAACUGCCUGCUGGAGGGGGAUAACUACUGGAAACGGUAGCUAAUACCGCAUACCAUCAGAUGUGCCCAGAUGUGAUUCGCUAGUAGGUGGGGUAAUGUCUCACCUAGGCGACGAUCCCUAGCUGGUCUGAGAGGAUGACCAGCCACACUGGAACUGAGACACGGUCCAGACUCCUACGGGAGGCAUCAUUGGGGAAUAUUGCACAAUGGGCGCAAGCCUGAUGCAGCCGUGCCGCGGGUGUGAAGAAGGCCUUCGGGUUUUAAAGUACUUUCAGCGGGGAGGCGUUACCCGCAGAAGAAGCACCGGCUAACUCCGUGCCAGCAGCCGCGGUAAUAC
rnacentral:rRNA from 1 species